rnacentral:rRNA from 1 species
GACGAACGCUGGCGGCGUGCCUAACACAUGCAAGUCGAGCGAAUGGAUUAAGAGCUUGCUCUUAUGAAGUUAGCGGCGGACGGGUGAGUAACACGUGGGUAACCUGCCCAUAAGACUGGGAUAACUCCGGGAAACCGGGGCUAAUACCGGAUAACAUUUUGAACCGCAUGGUUCGAAAUUGAAAGGCGGCUUCGGCUGUCACUUAUGGAUGGACCCGCGUCGCAUUAGCUAGUUGGUGAGGUAACGGCUCACCAAGGCAACGAUGCGUAGCCGCACUGGGAGGGUGAUCGGCCACACUGGGACUGAGACACGGCCCAGACUCCUACGGGAGGUAGCAGUAGGGAAUCUUCCGCAAUGGACGAAAGUCUGACGGAGCAACGCCGCGUGAGUGAUGAAGGCUUUCGGGUCGUAAAACUCUGUUGUUAGGGAAGAACAAGUGCUAGUUGAAUAAGCUGGCACCUUGACGGUACCUAACCAGAAAGCCACGGCUAACUACGUGCCAGCCGCCGCGGUAA